GACGAACGCUGGCGGCGUGCCUAACACAUGCAAGUCGAGCGAGGAACUUGCAACUGAUUCCUUCGGGAUGAAGAUGUAGGUUUCCUAGCGGCGGACGGGUGAGUAACGCGUGAGAAACCUGCCUUUCACUAGGGGAUAGCCUCGGGAAACCGGGAUUAAUACCCUAUGACACUUAAGGGUCGCAUGGCCUUUAAGUUAAAGCGCUUUAGCGGUGGAAGAUGGUCUCGCGUCCCAUUAGCUAGUUGGUGAGGUAAAGGCUCACCAAGGCGACGAUGGGUAGCCGGCCUGAGAGGGUGACCGGCCACACUGGAACUGAGACACGGUCCAGACUCCUACGGGAGGCAGCAGUGGGGAAUAUUGCACAAUGGAGGAAACUCUGAUGCAGCGACGCCGCGUGAGUGAUGAAGGCCUUCGGGUCGUAAAGCUCUGUCCUAGGGGACGAUAAUGACGGUACCCUAGGAGGAAGCCCGGCUAACUACGUGCCAGCAGCCGCGGUAAUAGUACUCU
rnacentral:rRNA from 1 species